AUGGCCGACACCACGGUGCUCCCGCCGUCUCUGCUCCCGCGCCGUAGCGCCGCCGCCACCGCCGACCUGCACUCCUGCUCCUCCCGCGUGCGUGUAAACCCAGCCCUGAUGGCGAACCCUCUGGCGGCUGCCAAGAGGCCAAAGCGUCUAGGAUCCGUGCGCGACGUGCAACCGCCGCCGGCGAAGCGCGUUCGCGGUGCCUGCUCCGGGGGCGAGCUCCGUGUCGCCGUCGCCACCAACAUCAAGAACAGCAGCAAGCUUCCGUGUCCCAGCAGCAGCAAGGAUACAAAGAGUCCGACGUGCCUCCAGUCCUCCGUGAUCAAGAACCAGGUCGCUGAAUCUCCGGCGAGCACUACGCAAUCGAAGCCGCCGAUCAGCAUGCGCCAACUGAUCGAGAAGGCUCGCCUCACCAUGGCUCUCCUCGACAAGGCUCGCUCUGCCUCCAAAGAAGAGGCCAGCCGUCGGCAGGACAUCGAGCGCAGCCGAGCGGAGGCCCGGCGAAAGGUGGAGCAGAUGGCGGACACCGUGCAGUUCAACGACCCCUGGAUCCAUCACUCCGACGUGACCAAGUCCCCUGAGGAGCUGCUCCAAGCCAGACAGCAAGCAUGGCGUUAUCAAGCUCACCUCAUCGAGAUGGCUCGUCGACGGGACUAUGCUCAAGCGAUGCAAAUCCACGGAUGA
rnacentral:rRNA from 1 species